UGGGUCUGCUUUGAGACUUUUCUCAAAUUUUAGUCAUACAAAGGAUAAAUAUUUCUUGCGGCACCAUGAUACCCAUCUUCGCUAGCCAAGGGUUACGAUCCACUCCCGCUCUCUUCACCCUUGGCGGAUUGAGACAACAUUUCGGAGACACAAGGUAAGGAUUUUUAUUGGUUGCAGUCAAAACUCGCUGCAUCCAAUCAAAAUGCGCAUAUAACAUGAUCACGUGUAAAUGUAGAAAGUGUUUGUAAACAAUUGCCACGUGUUUUUUGUGCAACAAGUCUUUACAUUCCUAAACAUACGACUAUAUUUAGUGCAAACUUGAAUGUUUUUAAUCAACAACUAGAAGUUCCUGUGUAUGUUUCAUGCACAAAUGCAUGAAUGUUGACGUAUGUUUUCAUUUCCGGCUUUACCAAGUGUGUAGAAUCUAGACGCUACCGUGUUUUUACCUCCAAAUUGAAGAGUUCAAGUGCUACCAUUGGUCAAGAAUAAUGUAUUCGAAAUUGGCGUGAUUUUUAUCUUCCGAUAGAUGGCGCACCAUUGUUAUCACAAAUGUUGGCUCAAUCCGCCAAGGGUGAAGAGAGCGGGAGUGGAUCGUAACCCUUGGCUAGCGAAGAUGACACAAUGUCAGUUUAUUUUAACAAUCAUUUGAUUAUAUAAAUGGAUUUUUUUAAUAUAUUUUGUUUCCAAAGUUGCUUUAUA
rnacentral:lncRNA from 1 species